rnacentral:rRNA from 1 species
AGCGAACGCUGGCGGCAGGCUUAACACAUGCAAGUCGAACGGGCGUAGCAAUACGUCAGUGGCAGACGGGUGAGUAACACGUGGGAACGUACCUUUUGGUUCGGAACAACACAGGGAAACUUGUGCUAAUACCGAAUAAGCCCUUACGGGGAAAGAUUUAUCGCCGAAAGAUCGGCCCGCGUCUGAUUAGCUAGUUGGUGAGGUAAUGGCUCACCAAGGCGACGAUCAGUAGCUGGUCUGAGAGGAUGAUCAGCCACACUGGGACUGAGACACGGCCCAGACUCCUACGGGAGGCAGCAGUGGGGAAUAUUGGACAAUGGGCGAAAGCCUGAUCCAGCCAUGCCGCGUGAGUGAUGAAGGCCCUAGGGUUGUAAAGCUCUUUUGUGCGGGAAGAUAAUGACGGUACCGCAAGAAUAAGCCCCGGCUAACUUCGUG